UGAGUUCCAGUAUCUCAAGGGUCAUGGAAUGAUGCUUCGCCAUUGAUGAUCCUUUUUUCACAGAAUUCAAUGAGGAGGAAGCAGAGGAGACAGCAACUUCAUGCCCAAUCUCAUCAGCUGACAGAUUGUCCACAUAUACAAGGUACCGGGUAUAAUCUCGAUAGCAGGUGAAGUGAUACCGUGCUUCACUAGCCACCAAGUCCCUGUCUUGGAUAUGGAGAAGGAGAGACUCAUCCCUUCUGCCUUCAGCAGCGAGAAGCAAUUUCCC